GUAUAGACCGUACCCGAAACCGACACAGGUGGUCAGGUAGAGUAUACCAAGGCGCUUGAGAGAAGUAUCCUGAAGGAACUCGGCAAAUUGCCUCCGUACCUUCGGAAGAAGGAGGCCCCAUAUCGACGCAAGUCUUUGUGGGGGGCACAGGCCAAGGGGUAGCGACUGUUUAGCAAAAACACAGCACUCUGCUAAGUCGGCUUCAAGACGACGUAUAGGGUGUGACGCCUGCCCGGUGCUCGAAGGUUAAGAGGAGGAGUGCAAGCUCCGAAUUGAAGCCCGAGUAAACGGCGGCCGUAACUAUAACGGUCCUAAGGUAGCGAAAUUCCUUGUCGGGUAAGUUCCGACCUGCACGAAUGGCGUAACGACUUC
rnacentral:ncRNA from 1 species